CUGCAUUUAUCAUUAACCUAACACCCCAACAUAAAACAAAAGGAAGAAAAGGAGGAAGGAAGGAAAAAAGGUGAAUCGGAAAAAGAGUGAUCAUGUCAGGGCGGCCCAGAACCACCUCCUUUGCGGAGAGCUGCAAGCCAGUGCAGCAGCCUUCAGCUUUUGGCAGCAUGAAAGUUAGCAGAGACAAAGAUGGCAGCAAGGUGACCACAGUGGUGGCAACUCCUGGGCAGGGUCCAGACAGGCCGCAAGAAGUCAGCUAUACAGACACUAAAGUGAUUGGAAAUGGGUCAUUUGGUGUGGUGUAUCAAGCCAAACUUUGUGAUUCAGGAGAACUGGUUGCCAUCAAGAAAGUAUUACAGGACAAGAGAUUUAAGAACCGAGAGCUCCAGAUCAUGAGAAAGCUAGAUCACUGUAACAUAGUCCGAUUGCGUUAUUUCUUCUACUCAAGUGGUGAAAAGAAAGAUGAGGUCUAUCUUAAUCUGGUGCUGGACUAUGUUCCAGAAACAGUCUACAGAGUUGCCAGACACUAUAGUCGAGCCAAACAGACGCUCCCUGUGAUCUAUGUCAAGUUGUAUAUGUAUCAGCUGUUCCGAAGUUUAGCCUAUAUCCAUUCCUUUGGAAUCUGCCAUCGGGAUAUUAAACCACAGAACCUCUUGUUGGAUCCUGAUACAGCUGUCUUGAAACUCUGUGACUUUGGAAGUGCAAAGCAGCUGGUCCGUGGAGAACCCAAUGUUUCGUAUAUCUGUUCUCGGUACUAUAGGGCACCAGAGUUGAUCUUUGGAGCCACUGAUUAUACCUCUAGUAUAGAUGUAUGGUCUGCAGGCUGUGUGUUGGCUGAGCUAUUGCUAGGACAGCCAAUAUUUCCAGGAGACAGUGGUGUGGAUCAAUUGGUGGAAAUAAUCAAGGUCCUGGGGACACCAACAAGGGAGCAAAUUAGAGAAAUGAACCCAAACUACACGGAAUUCAAAUUCCCUCAAAUUAAGGCACAUCCUUGGACUAAGGAUUCGUCAGGAACAGGACAUUUCACCUCAGGAGUGCGGGUCUUCCGACCCCGAACUCCACCCGAGGCGAUUGCGCUGUGUAGCCGUCUGCUGGAGUAUACACCAACUGCCCGGCUGACACCGCUGGAAGCUUGUGCACAUUCAUUUUUUGAUGAAUUACGGGACCCAAAUGUCAAACUACCAAAUGGGCGAGACACACCUGCACUCUUCAACUUCACCACUCAAGAACUGUCAAGUAAUCCACCUCUAGCUACCAUCCUUAUUCCUCCUCAUGCUCGGAUUCAAGCAGCUGCUUCAACUCCUUCAAAUACCACAGCAGCCUCAGAUGGACUUCCCAUCUCCACCCAAGCAGGGAGGAAGUGAAUGCCUGCCAACAUGACAAAGCAUUUCCAGGUCUACUCCAAGGUUGAAAACCCUUCUAACAGAAAAGGGAAUCAUGAUAAGAGUUGGACAAGAUGCUAAUGCUGGAGACCGUGGACAGACCAAUAACGCCGCUUCUGCAUCAGCUUCCGACUCCUCCUGAACAGUCCCAAGCAGCCAGCUGCACAGGAACAACCACCAGUUUACUUGAGUGUCACUCAGCAACACUGGUCACGAUUGGAAAGAAAAUUAAAAAGAGAAAAAAAAACCUAUUCAUUUUAGUGUUCAAUUUUUUUUAUUAUUAUUGUUGUUCUUAUUUAACCUUGUAAAAUAUCUAUAAAUACAAACCAGUUUCAUUGUAUUCUCACUUGAGGGAGAUCCAGGGGUGGGAGGGGUUGUGGGGAGGGGGAAAGCGGAGCACUAGAACACACAGUCUCUCUCCCACGACAAUCUUUUUUUAUCAAAAAGUCUGCUGUUGUAUACUUUAAAAACAGGACUCCUGCCUCAUGCCCCUUCCACAAAAGAAGAAGACUUUGUUCUGUGCUGAGGUUUUUUUGAACUUUGUUUUCUUUUAAAGUCAAGUGUAAGACUUGGGUAUAGUGCACAGCUUGAAAUUGGUUGGGAGCUUAGCAGGUGUAACUCAAUGGGGACUUAAAUGUCACUUGUAAAAUUAAUCCAUAUCCUCGGGUACUUGAAGACUUGCCCUUGGCUUGUCAAUGGCAGGUGUGGCAGACAAAGGAAAUGUGUGUCAUUUGUAACCCGGGAGGUCAAUAAAGUUUGAAUCUAUAAGGGGAAAAUUCUUAAUUGAUGUCAAGGUUUUAUUUUACUCUUAUCAAUGCUAGUGGUGAAGAAACUUCUGUAGGUAAAGAAACUUCUGAAGCUGUCAGGGGAGAAGCGUGUGUGCUCUUUGUGUGGGUCUUUGUUUGCCAGACCAAAGGUUCUCUAUAAAACUUAGUACAGUUUUAAUCUAGUGACCUAGGAGAAGAACGAGAGGGGUGUUGAGCUGGCCACUCUGGCUGCAGAGGUAAAAGCUGAUGAACCUGGAAGAGGAGGAUGGGCCGGGCAGAUCUCACCACUGUGAAUGAAUUUGUCCAAAUUUUUUUUUCUAAAGUUGCUUCCCUUGGAAAGAUACACUUGAGAAGACAUUGUAGUUAAAUAAUGUGAAUUGUAAUAGUCUACUGGUUUAUUUUUCAUAUUUUUUAAUUGCAAAUUGAGCUUGCAGAAAUUGCUACAUUCUGCAUAUAGUUCUAAUUUUAACUCCAAAUCCAGAAUCUGUAUUUAAUUUCAGCUUUUUUAACCUCAAGCUUUUAAAAUUUUAUUUAUUGAUGCAUGUGAGAUAGGCCAUGAUGAUUUUAGAUGGUAGGAAUAUUGAAAACUACACAUCAAAAUGAUAAAAACAGUCACUUGUACCUGCUGACUUUAUAGGAAAACUGAUUAUAUAAAUGUGUGUAUAUGUGUUAUAUACAUAGAUUCAGUACUGCCUUUUGUUUGGGGUUUUUUUGUUUUGUUCUGUCUUUCUGUUUUUGUCCACAAUAUCAAAUUUGACUAGUUGAAGCAUGAGGAUGUUUCCCCCUACACCUAGUUAAGAGUUUUUGUUUUCUUCAUAUAAUCAGUGAACAGUGUAAGACUCAGUCUCUGUUUUUGAAGAAAAAGCAAUAUUCCUUGGAAAGCAAGGAGAUUUGAAGGAUUACGUUGGCAGUGAGGAAAUAGAUUUUCACAGCUAGUUUGUUUUAUAUUUUUAAGGUUGACAUCUAUGUGGGCCUUAUAUACUCUAAAAUGAACCUUAGACACCUUGGUGCUUAUGGGCCAUUACUUGACCUAUGAAUCUUUAAGGCACAAUCAGUUGUACUUUACAUUUAAAGAUCACUUAAGUGAUGGCCGCCUUUCCCGCCUACCUUCCUUCCUUCCCCACAUACCUUUCCAAGGUUAGCUGAUAACUGUAGGGCUGCAGAGCUGAGCCCCAGACUGUGUGUAACCUUUCACCCUCCCUGUUGUCACCUUAGGUCAUGUUAGGGGCUUCGCCCGCCAGGUGAUUUGGAAGUGGAGUCUCUUGGCAGCCCUCACGCAGGUCCCAGCACCCUGUCCUGCUUCUUAACCAAGUGUGUGUGACUCUCUGAGAGAGUCGUACUGCCUGCUGACGUGAACCAGUAUCCAGAGAGGCAUCUGUGAGCCAUCCUAGUUUUCACUGUCUAGCUAAGCUCUUAAGCCACAGAAGGGUUUCUCCAACCUCUGGUUAUAUCAGAGUUCGUGAGAAAGGAAACACACUCAGUCAAACCAAAUCAAACAAAUUGCAUUUUACUUUUCAUAGUGAGCUUCUGAGAGUAAAUUAAGAUUGGAAAGAAGUCUGAAUCAAAGUAUUUGACAGCAUAAUUCUUAAAGGGAAUGGCUUUGAUGGACCAUUUCAGAAAGGGUUUAUAAAGAAGCUGGAUGGCAGGUCUGUGACACAGAAGUGGACCUACUUUGAGACCAAACUACCCAGCCAAACAUGUGGACACAGACACUACUCUGAACUUGGUAUUCUUGCUGGAGAACAUAAAAAUCUGUGCUUCUUUUAGGAAACACUUUCCUGCAUAAAUGGGGUAAGAGAAGAAGAGAGAAAAGUCAAAUGUUUUUCUCUCAUUUUAAUUGUGUGUGUGUGUGAGGGCUGAGGUUUGUGAUUUUUCCUUCUCAAGGAUCAUGGUGGGAUCACAGAACUCUUUUAUACAAGUGGGAUCCAGGUCUCUGAAUAAUGUUUUUUGUAAAUAAUAAUAAUAAAAGCUCCUCACCAAAUUCAAGCUUGUACAUUAUAUUUUCUUUCAAUGUUUUUAAAUUUAAGUUCUAUUGUUUUGUAUGUAAAUAUGUGGACCCAGGAACUGUUAUUAAUGAGCAAAAAGUUACUGUUCAGGGCAGUGAUUCUGUUUAAUAAUCAGACAAAUUGUAGACGAGCUUUUUAAAGCCAUAUAGUUUUAACUCUGUACAGUAGGUACCGGCCUGUAUUAUUGUAACAAUAACUCUAGCGAUGUAUAGUGUAUCUAUAUAGUUUGGAGUGCCUUCGCUUCCAUGUGUUUGUUUUCUUGUUUCUGUUCUUCAUUUUGCAGAUUUUAAUUGGUCUCAAUAUCCAUGUCUCCCUGUCCCACCCCCUUCCCUUUGAAGUAAUGGCUCACUCAUAACAGUGUCUUUGCCCCUUCCACAGUUACCAUGCUCAGGAGUGGAAAGAGGAAACCAUAAUUAUUUUCAUAAUCUCAUCUCAUUCAAGCCCUACCUUUGUUUCGGUUCUGAGCAUCUGUUUCCUCCUCAGUAGCAGUGACCAGUUCCAUUUCACCCAGGGACUUAGUGUAGUGCCAGGGAGCCCUCGAGCCGGAGAAUAUGGAAUAGAGUAGAUUUUGCUCGUCUCUUCCCCCAAACCCUAACCAUGGGUCUUACAAACAGCAGAUUCCGGGAGCCUUCUGCCCUCUCUCUCUCUCCAUUUCAUCUACUUCCCUCCCAAAUGAGAGAAAAAAGAGAGAGAGAAUUGGUUUUUGUAAAUCGAUGUUUCUUAAUACUUGUAUCGGUUUUGAUACACGAGUAGUCUAAAAUGCUGUGGUGCAAUUACUAGCGGCUGCUGCACGAUCGCCGCCCACGCGGUGAGGACUGUUGUUUUCACAAGGGAACUUCCCUCCCUCCUGUCACCUCUACCCCUGUUCAAUGAAAUGUCAUUUUAAUUUAUCUUUUAAAAAAAUCUGUUUCUUACUGUGUGCCCAUCAUGAAGGCCUUUUUCAAAAGAAAAAAAAUCAAAAUUACUUGUUUUGCCUCCAAGUACUCCAUAUAAGAUGUCUCAAGUAGAAGAAAAAAAAAACUUUACCAAACCAAAGCUUGCUAUUUUUUAAAUAUCAUGUGUUCAUUCCAGCGAGGCAGAAGACUGCACCUUCUUUCCAGCAACAUGUUGUGUCAUUUUUUUUAAGUCCUCUUAAUUUUUAGACACAUAUUUUUUAUUUGUGUUUUAACGAAGCCUGCCUAACCAGUCAUCUUGUCUGCACCAAUGCAAAGGUUUCUAAGAGGACUAUUGUAUUCUCUAUCCCUGUGGAUAUAAAGACACUGGCAUUUCAUUUCUUUUUCCCUUUCCUUUUUGAGGGAUUUAACUUUGGAAUCUUCCAAAGGAAGUUUGGCCAAUGCCAGAUCCCCAGGAGCUUGGGGGUUUUUCUUUUGUUUUAAACCAAAAUUGUAUCUGAUUUCUCGUUCAUGUUAGUGGUCAUCUAAUCACAGAGUCGAACACUUUCUCCCUUAUAUCCCUUAUAUAGAAAAAUUAAGUAUGCUUUAUAGUAAAAUCUGUCUUUUCUGGUAGAAACCUGAGCCACUGAAAAUAACUCGAAGCAGAGUAGAGCCCCAGACUACGGUCUGUUUCAGAGGCUUUGAAAGUCAUCUCUGGGGUCUGGAUUCUUUUCACAAGGGUUGUGACUUUUGAUUCACGUUUGUUGCUCCAUUUGCACCUCUGCAAUAAAAGCAAAAUGACAACCAGUACAUAAGGGGUUAACUUGACAAAGUAGACUUCCUUGUGUUAAUUUUUAAGUUUUUUUUUCUUACUAUAUCUGUCUACAGGCAGAUACAGAUAGAUGUAUGAAAAUGUGCUUGCCUGUAAAAUUUGCAUUCAUAAAUGUGUUGCCGAUGGAUCACUUGGGCCUGUACACAUACCAAUUAGUGUGACCACUUCCAUCUUAAAAUCAAAUCUAAAAAACAAAAUUUAUUAUUAUAUAUAUAUAUAUAUAUAUAAAGGACUGUGGGUUGUAUACAAACUAUUGCAAACACUUGUGCAAAUCUGUCUUGAUAUAAAGGAAAAGCAAAAUCUGUAUAACAUUAUUACUACUUGAAUGCCUCUGUGACUGAUUUUUUUUUUUCAUUUUAAAUAUAAACUUUUUUGUGAAAAGUAUGCUCAAUGUUUUUUUUCCCUUUCCCCAUUCCCUUGUAAAUACAUUUCGUUCUAUGUGACUUGGUUUGGAAAUAGUUAACUGGUACUGUAAUUUGCAUUAAAUAAAAAGUAGGUUAGCCUGGAAAUGAAAUUAAAA